AGCGGCGGACGGGUGAGUAAUGCCUAUGAAAUUGCCCUGAUGUGGGGGAUAACCAUUGGAAACGAUGGCUAAUACCGCAUGAUGCCUACCGGCCAAAGAGGGGGACCUUCGGGCCUCUCGCGUCAGGAUAUGCCUAGGUGGGAUUAGCUAGUUGGUGAGGUAAGGGCUCACCAAGGCGACGAUCCCUAACUGGUCUGAGAGGAUGAUCAGCCACACUGGAACUGAGACACGGUCCAGACUCCUACGGGAGGCAGCAGUGGGGAAUAUUGCACAAUGGGCGCAAGCCUGAUGCCUCCAUGCCGCGUGUGUGAAGAAGGCCUUCGGGUUGUAAAGCACUUUCCUUCGUGAGGAAGGUAGUGUAGUUAAUAGCUGCAUUAUUUGACGUUAGCGACAGAAUAAGCACCGGCUAACUCCGUGCCAGCACGCGCGGUAAU
rnacentral:rRNA from 1 species